UACGUAGGGGGCAAGCGUUGUUCGGAAUUACUGGGCGUAAAGGGCCAGUAGGCGGCCAACUAAGUCCGACGUGAAAUCCCAAGGCUUAACCUUGGAACUGCGUCGGAUACUGGAUGGCUUGAAUUCGGGAGAGGGAUGCAGAAUUCCAGGUGUAGCGGUGAAAUGCGUAGAUAUCUGGAGGAAUACCGGUGGCGAAGGCGGCAUCCUGGACCGGCAUUGACGCUGAGGAGCGAAAGCUAGGGGAGCAAACGGG
rnacentral:rRNA from 1 species